UACGGAGGGUGCAAGCGUUAAUCGGAAUUACUGGGCGUAAAGCGUGCGUAGGCGGUUUGUUAAGUCAGGUGUGAAAUCCCUGGGCUCAACCCAGGAACUGCAUUUGAUACUGGCGGACUAGAGUGUGGUAGAGGAUGGUGGAAUUCCCGGUGUAGCGGUGAAAUGCGUAGAUAUCGGGAGGAACAUCAGUGGCGAAGGCGGCCAUCUGGACUGACACUGACGCUGAGGCACGAAAGCGUGGGGAGCAAACAGG
rnacentral:rRNA from 1 species